UCUGAAGGACCGGCCGCGCGGCGCCGCUCCAGCCUCGAGCGCCCCACGGCGCGCUUUGUGACGCAGCGCGCGUCAGUCGCCGCCCGGGCUGGGGUCGGCUCCCUGGGUCGAGCUGGGCUGCAGCCACGCCGAAGCCUUCGCUCUCCGUACCCUUUUCCCACGGUCCCUUCGUGCUCACAGACAGCGCCCGGGAACCCAGCGUAGCGAGCUUUUAGCGCGCGAGCACAGCCCGGUCACGCCGGCGCCCCGGGGCGCGUGACCGGAGUCUCCGAGUAUUUAAGUGGAAGUCUGAGCUGGGUGCCAACUCCUAAGCUCUGCUUGAUCGCUCUCUCGGAACCCUAGGCUAAGAGACGUCUCGGGUUCCACGGAUCUUUUGUGUGUGCGCUUCCUCCCGUUCUCCGGCUGGCCUCGAAUUGGAAAUCGUCCUGGCUCUACUUUUCAACUACUGAGAUGACAGAUGUGUGCCACCAUACCUGGUCAGUUUCUUGAUGAUACAACUAUCUAAAAUGUUUAUUGUGUCCCCCACUUACCAGGAGGACAGAAAGCUAUCUGAUUUGUUUCCUUCUGUCUCUGGUAGGAGAAACAUAAUCUGACACUUACUAAACAAUACUGGUUUUUGAAAGAGCUCUUAGAACAAAGCUUUAGUCGUGCUUCCAAAUUUAAACAUAUCUUUAUUACUUUUCUCAUUGAUGAUGAUGGACUGAGCCUCAGAACCUGUAAACCAACCCCAAUAAAUGCCCUUUAAAAGA